rnacentral:rRNA from 1 species
GUCUACAGCCAUGCCACCCUGAAGAAGCCCGAUGCCUGAUCUCGGAAGCUAAGCAGGGUCGGGCCUGGUUAAUACUUUUGAUGGGAGAUCACCUAGGAAGACCAGGUGCUGUAGGCA